UAUGAUAAAGUUGAAAUCCCGUCGACUAAGUUUGCUAGCGAAUGCUUGGAUGAGUUUGAUGACUUUAUGGCUAAACAAGAAAACUUCAAUGCUUAUGUUGGUAGACAAUUGAAAAAUAAUGCUUAUAUGAUUGGACACUUGAGUGAUUAUAUGUCUAGAGUUAAGAAUGAACUUAAACUUAUUAGUAAACAUGCUUCUAUGGUUACCACUCAAGUAGAACAAGUGCUUAAAGCUCAAAAUGAUUUGCUCAAUGAAUUAAAUGAUAAGAGAAAUGAUAAUGUCGUUAGAGUUAUGACUAGAGGGGGUAAAAUGACUCAGGAACCUUUGUAUCUUGAGGGACACCCUAAGAGGAUUGAGCAAGAUUCUCAUAGAAAUAAUGUUGAUGCA
rnacentral:rRNA from 1 species